CGGACGGGUGAGUAACGCGUGGGGAACCUGCCCUGUACCGGGGGAUAGCAGCCGGAAACGGCUGAUAAUACCGCAUAAGCGCACGAAUGUCGCAUGACAUGGUGUGAAAAAACUCCGGUGGUAUAGGAUGGACCCGCGUCUGAUUAGCCAGUUGGUGGGGUAAAAGCCUACCAAAGCGAAGAUCAGUAGCCGAGUUGAGAGACUGACCGGCCACAUUGGGACUGAGACACGGCCCAGACUCCUACGGGAGGCAGCAGCG
rnacentral:rRNA from 1 species